rnacentral:lncRNA from 1 species
GUGAUGAUAUCAAGAGUCUUGAAGAAUGCAAUCAAAGUGAGGUCUAAAGACUUGAUGGGAUGUGAGGGAAAGAUCCAUUACCGAAGAGGCCUAAUCACAAACCAUUGUCCAGGUCCAAGCUGAAGGAUUGCUUGGAUGCACUACACUAGGGUCACAAAACAGAAAAUAACCUUUAAGUUACCUAAAACAGAGAGUUAAAACUGGCACUUGUUCUUUACUAAACCCACCUCACGGUUUUCCUAUGCCUCUCCGCCUGUUGUGUCUGUACGCAAGAUUCACCAGUUUCUAGUCAGUUUCAGGUGAAAGGGAAGAGCUCGCUUCCCCCUGCUGUUCCCUCUUAGGUCCAUCUGAGCCAUGAGAUUCAUCACCCCCUCUGGAACUUUCAUCCUUGGAUAGGGUUGCACCAACUGGCAUGGCCAGCUCAGAGUUGAAGCUACAGAACACGCUAACAGCUUUGGGACUUCCAUCGUCAGAUGUAUUUACAGUCUCUGGCAUUGCUUGCUUGGAGUUGUUAUCAAUCCUUUGCGGAUCGUGAAUCUUCAACCUGACAGUAGAAUUUUCACCAUCAUCUUUUGAACCGCCACCUGACCCAGGUGUGUUUUUACUAUCUUCGGAACCACUACCUGGCCCAGAUGUGUCAUGAUCCACAGGUUUGUCAACGCGAAUUGGUUCGUCAUGGACAACACCAUAUGCAGAUUUGCCAGCAAAUCUUCUAGCGGUGGUUUUGGAAAUGCUGGCAGCUCUGCUCCUGGCAUACCAUCAUACAUUUCAGUCGGUAGCUGACCACAUGAAAAACAUAACACAGACUUCAUGAAAGCAUGCAAGCCAACCUUUUUGAGGAUGAAACAGCCUUCGAUUUUUUUUGUGACUCUGACUUGGUUUUACUUUUCACUUUUUGCAGUCUGGUAACAUAUUGCAAAAGCAAAGCACAGAUCAGACCACGCAACAAGGAAUCAGAAAAUACCUGUCUACUAACUAUGGGAAAACUAUGAUAUCAGGCUUAUUUAAAGAACUUAAAUGAUAAUCUCUGAACUUACAUAUCAGAUGAAGUACCAGGUUUUGGAACAUCAAUCUCCUGCCCCUGCAAACAUUAUUAGCACAAUUGCGAGACAGAUAAUUACUUCCACGAAACAGUUCUAGAACAUAAAAGAAGGGAAAAUGUGGAGUAUAGAAUGAGGCAAAACACCCACUUGAACUGGAAAGAUACCAUCUUCAAUGAAUUCCCAUCGCUGCUUUUUGAGAUUAAGCUUCUCUUCAUCCCCAUCAGCAUACAGGACCUGAACGAGAAGUCAUCAACAUGCGUAUUUUAGAGCUAUGAUAUGAAGAAAUGAAAAUAGAAAAAUUGAUAUCGAUGUUUGGUGAGAUGGUUCGGACUCUAUCAUCCAUAAUGAACCAAUUACUCCAUCAGAAUAAUCUGGAUCCAUUGAUCUUAUAAGAAAAGCUCCAGCAAGCCUAAUAAAAGGUGUCAUUUCUGUCAUAGACACAAGUACUCGUGAUUUAUCACAAACUUUGGCCCUGGGUAUUGCCACAAUUGCUACAGAAAAACCGAACUCCAAGUAGAAGACAGGUUCAAAAAGAUAAUUCCUUCUCCUUCCUUUUUCUAGAUAAGGAGGGAUUACUCAGAGUCACCCACCUUGUGCUUCUUUUUGACGGGGUCGUAGGAAUCAACAACUCCUUCAUAGAACCUGCAGAACAAGAAAACAAGUACAGAAACUUCAGUAUGGAUGUUCUUUGGAAAGAUCAAUAAUAUAGGUGGUUUAUAAGCUGAGCCCUAAUUCAAAUUUAUGGGGCCAGAAUCUCAGCCAAAGAUAUCUAGUGCAUAUCAAAAUACUUGAUCUACUUUCACUAAACAUAAAAAGCCACAGGCAAGUCAAGCUCUUUCACAAAUCGAUGUUUCUUUCUUUCUUAUUUUUCUGUGCUGAGCUGACAGCAGGUAAUGGUUCAGCACCCACAGAAAGCAUGUUCAAAAGCUCAAAAGACAGUAAACAAAAACAUCAACUUUCUCUGUUAAAGAAAAAUUUAGAUACACCAUAUACAGUCAAAAAGGAAACUAAAGCAUGUCAUGCAUAGGUAGAGACAUUGAAAUCAAAGAUCCUCUCUGGUAGAAUAUGACUACUGUCAAAAUCCCCUUCAAUCACCCCUAGUAAGAUUAUAUAAAGAUCAAGGAUCAACAUAAAAAGAACCACCUUGUCCACUUUAUGACUGUAAAUGGUUAGAAUCCCGGUGUGAGACGAAGACAUUAAAUUGACAGCUUGAUCUCUCUUCGGCCAACUUUUGAAUAGUUAUUCCCAUACUAUUAUUAUUCAUGCAGCUAUCAAACCUUGCAUUAUCAUUUCAAGUCUAAUUUUGAGACAAAAACAAACAAGAUGAUGAUGAUGAAUAAAAUUCUCUCAGCCCACUUUCAAAAGCCUAUUCAAGGACCUUAUACUCAGCAUUAAAUAACUCCAGUCUCCACUGUGAGCAUAGAACUUGUAGAAGUCAAUCUGAGACAUCAGAGUACAAAAAGUCACAAGCUCAAUAAGAAUUGGUGAUUGAAGACAAGCAAGCACAAGACAACCAGCAAGACAUGACAGGAAAAGUGAGAGAAAUUCUGGACAUCUAACAAUUUUUUUUUAAAAGAGAAAAAAAAUGAAACUAGAAGUCAGAUAUUCAACUCUCACCUCUUAUCCAUUGGCCACCAAACCUUUAUUUUGCUACCAACCAAUUGCUCACCAAGAUCAGGAGUUCCAGAAAACUGAAUUUUAGAAUAUAGCCAUGUCAAUAAAUUGAAAAAUGACAAAGAUUAAAGAAGAUAAUAAGGUGGCAAAAAUAUCUCUAUCUAAAAGCCUGAUGUAUAAGCAUGCUUAAAAGGAAAACAGUUGAAUAAAAAUCACAACAUAAGCAUGUGACAUAUCCCAAGAUGUGUUGUUACGAUUCAAGAGCUUCAGAACAAGCUUCAGCAGUGCUUUCUCACAACAAAAAAAAAAAAAUCUAGAUCUCAAAGAUAGUUUUCGAUGUGUGAAAUGAGUUUAUUUGAUGAAUUUGAAAUUCCAAUUACAUUGACAAUUACGAGAUAAGUUUAAAGCAUUUGUCUGGUUUAUGCCCUAUCUCAAAUGGAGGCUCACAUCAUCCCUGUAAACCACAUGUAUCAACCACCAAUGUUAGACUUAAAAAGAUUUACUAGCAUUUAUUCAUAGUCAAGGCAAACAAUUGGAGUGCUGAUUCAAAAUUAACAUAGCAAUUAACAAUUACAUUUAACAUCAAAUAUAAAUUUGACUAUUAGUCCAAUAUUUUCACGAUCAUCAAUAAAGCAAAAGCAAGUUAAAAUCUUGUCCGCAGCACAAACAUUCUGAUUGCUGAAGUACAAAAUUGUGCCUUUUUUUUCUUUCAGUUCUGAUAGCCAUUUCUAUUUUCACGCAUUAAGCCAAUAAGGCAAACCAAUCAGAGAUUUAUCUCCCUUCACAAUGGUUAAGCUGGCUUCCCAGUCACAAAUCAGUUUCUGAGAUUGUGACAUAAAGCAUCUCAUAGGACUUUUGAGUUGCAAAACAUUGGGUGGAACAGCUAGAUAUUGCAGCCAGCUUUUUAAACUCAAUUGAUGCAUAGAGUGCGUGCAAUUGAACUGACAGAAAAACAGAUUUCAACUCCUAUACCCAUCCCGGGGAGAGAUAUAUCAGGAGAAAUGAAGAGCAUAUCAUCAACCUGAUACAGUGAUACUCCUCUCUACACUCAAAAUUUUUCAGCCUUUUUUGGGAACAGUUUCAGCAAUUUUAUAGUGUGUGCAAAGUCCGAACAGAGAUAAACUAUGUAUAGGAAAACCAGUUGAGGUAAAUGUGACAAAGUGGAAAUAAAAUGAAAAACAUGGAAAGAAAGAAGGGAAGUCCCAUUGACAAGCUACAAGUUAAUAACAAGAAAUAAGGAAUCCAUACCACUUCCUUCCUUGGAGUACGCUUCCUCUUGAGCUUUGGUUGUGGGGUUUCUUCAGGUAAGUUCCAUCCAUGUCUAAUGAUUUUUUCUUCUGUACAAUUGGCAAACAUCAGGAUAAAAGAAAAGCUUAUACAUAACAGAUGUAAAUGCUAGUCAGAUCCUUAUCCAUUCAAUACCUUAUCUCUAAAUGCUUCCCCAACAUCCUCGUCUGAAUUAACAUCCAAAGACUUCUUUUUUGUGCCUGUUGGGACUGAAGUGCGGUGCUUAUUAAAUCUCCUUACUGCAAUCACAACUGGCUGGUGGACAGACUUUUCCUCUGGUUCACUGAGGACCACUGAUUUCUUUGAAGAUACUACACGUCCAGAAGACAGAGAUAUCUUCUUAGGAGUCUUUGAGCCAAGUUCAUUUUUUCUUAUGCGUUUUUGUUUCUUUGCUUCUGAGUCACUUCUUUCUUUAGACUGCUUUCUCAAACUGGCAUCAUCGAAUUCUGGAGCUUUCUCUUCGACCUGAGCACUCAUGCUUUCACGCUUUGACAGCAAUGAAGGACUUGGAUCAGCAUCUUCACUCGUACUGUUUCCCUUUUUCCUUGGCCGGCCUCUUUUAAAUACUUUCAGCAGUUAUGUCUUGUUGUGGGGUUAGGAAGAAGACCUUGAGAUUUUUAACAGUUUGGGGGUAAAUCUUGUAGGUUUUGUCACUUUCAACAUGCAUUAAUGACAGAGCUACCUUCUUGGAAUCUGAAGUUUCUGAGGGUAAAUCAUCGUUGCCCUUAUCUUGAAGCUUUUCACGGAGAAGUUUGGUAGUUUUUCUUCCUAUUGAAAACCAAGGAUCAUAGCCUUCUUCUGGAUUCAUCAAAGAAUUAGGUUUCCAGCCCCUUUUACUUGGAACAGACUUUGGCUCCAUUUCUAACAUGACUUCAGGUUCUGCUUUGUCCUGUGCAUUGGUGCUUUUAGAAUGCUCAGUAUGAGAACAAGGCUCUAGCAUAUUUGAAGCAUUAUCCUUUUUAACAGUCCCAGCAUUUCUAGUUGAAGCAGUUCCAUUCCUUGCUAUUGACUUCGGAAUCACAUCCUUACCUUCAAAAACUUCUUUACGACAAGCAGCAUUUGGUGAUAAUCCCUUGGACAUUAGACCAACAGAAAAAUUAAUAUUAAAAAGGAUGCCUAUUUAAAAAUAAGAAAAAAUCCAAAUUGCAGCAAAAGAGCACUGGGCACAAAUGCUACCUUUCAAGUCACGACCACACUUCUAUGAAGAAUAAUAAAAAGGUUAUCUCAUCUAUCUCUAACUAGCAUAUGCAACAGUCAUGAGUUUAUUUUCCUCUUUAUUUUAUUUUAUUCAUUUUGCAUGAAAAGUCUAUCAGUCAUAGAUUGAUAACUGAAAUGUCACUAGUAGGGCAAAACAUCUCAUGUGGUCCCUCUACUUCUCAAAUUUGAUCAAAUCAACCAUGUCCCUUAAAUUGGACCAAAUCAACUCCACUUCCAGUUACAGAUUUGAGAUCCUCCACUUGAUUACAUCAUAACAAGUGGCAUUUAGCUGGCCAUUUAACUAGUAAUGGAAUUAGAGGAAGGGACUGACAUCACCUUUACUUAGAAAAAAAGGGUUGAUUUGAUCUAUUUUGAAGUAAAAGGUUUGAUUUAGCGAAAUUAAGAAAGUAGGAGGCUGCUUGUGAUUUGUAGCAAAUCACUAGCAGUAUAAGACAGUAAAUGGGCUUCAUCUCACAUCAGAAAAGUAAACGGGUUUUGGAUUCUACAAAGCAGAUAAAAGGGAAACCAAAACUUAUUCUUGAAAAUGAAGUCAGAAAUUAUAUUUAGCAAAAGAAGAGAACUCUGGAUCAGUUUUCCAUCUUAGGUAACAAUUUUACAAUUGCAAGACAAGAUCACAAAAAACUCCACUCAAAUCUCAUGCAGUUAUAGACAGGGAUAAGAAACAUACCAAAGGUUCCCCAGAAUGAUUGUUAUAAUCACAUUCGAGUGUGUGAGACUCAUCCUGGAAUAUAGAAGCAACUAUUGGAGCAUAUUCAUCCAAAGGAAUGCCUGUAGACUGCACAGCUUCCUUGAGAUAGGGCUUAAUUUUAGCAGCACAAUUAGUGAUAACUCUUUCCCCAAGCUUCCAUGCUAUAGGAGAAAAACUCUGGAACAAUAGUAUUUGUAGAGUAAAUCUAAUCGAACCUAUCAAGACCAUGAUGGAAAAGAGAAAUAUUUUAUGGAUGACACACCUGGUUUUGCUUUUUUACACUCACUAAAAGGAGAGUGAGAAGCUCCAGUGAGAUUUCUUCACUUUCAUCAAUGACCAGGGUCAUAAUUGUUUCCAUGGCCAAGAUUGCAAUUUGUGGAUGAUUGGACCUUGAAGUUGAACAAGAAAAGCCAUCAGUUGUUGAAGAGAGACCAAAAAAAAUCCAGGCAUUUAUAUGAAAGUAAACAGGAAAAGAAAAGGCGAUAGAAAGCCCCAAGCUACCACUGCUUUGACAACAACAAAACAGCACCCAAGCUUCAAUCCCAAACUAGUUGGGGUUGGCUAUAUGGAUCCUUUUCCGAUGAUCAUGUACUACCACUGCCUAAAAAAAUGCUACCAUAUCUUUAUUAUGAAAACUAGAACAGAAACUAUAAAUACAUAGCACAAUGUAUCCCUUGAAGUUAUCAAGAAAAUAGUUUCAUAUAAAUUCUGACACUUUCCACCCUAGCAAGUCCCAAGCUAUGUCCAAUCUUCAAGUGGGUAGGAUGCAUAGCCACAUACAAACAACUCUUGAGUUGCUUCUCAUCCGUAAUAAUCCCUUCUGGGUCUCUUCAACUUCCAACAAGCACAACAACUUUCCUGAUCUUCUUUUCUACAAAGAUUGACAGUAGACCUUUGCAAUCUAAAUUCCAAAUUAGAUUAAGAACAGUUUUCUAAAGGGAGCUAUAUUGAAAUGCAGCAUGAGUUUUAAAUGCUAAAAAACUCCACCUGACACACACACACCAAAAAACAAAACCCUUUAACUUUGUACGAAACUUUUGAGAAUUUGUAAAAUUUUGCAGAACCAAGAACACAAUUGGAAAAAACUCCUGUCAUGUUCUUACUGUAAACUUCUGACAAUGAAAUUCCAAUAUAAGUAACGAAAGAAUUAUUCAAACCCUGAUUCACUUUAAUUUUAGCUGCUCCAAAACUCUUUUUUUAGAAGUACAAUGUUACACACUAAGAAAAAUUAAAAGUUACAGAAUCUAAUGAGCUGAAAUUACUCGCCAAAUUUGAAUCAUUCUGAACACAAAUUAGUUAAGGAACUCUAUUAUUGAAGGCAAUACAGCCGGUUUGGGGAUUGUAAAUGGGAGAUAGAACAAUACAUGGAAUAGGCAGUAAUUUCUAUAUCUUUCAUAAAAUGACAUAUAAACAUGAGAAGAUAUGAAGCAAAAGUUAAUGAUAAUGACAAGGCUCCCGAGUCCUACCUGAUGAAUUUCAGAAAGUAUUGGAACAUAUCUAAAAUUAGUUCAUCCAACUCCAGGUCCAGCAUCAUCAAGCAUGACCUCACCCUCGCUACAUUCUCAAGAAUUGAAACUGCCUUUGUAUAACAAUGGCCAGACUCAUGGGAUAAUUUUUCAAAAGAUGCUACAGUCAAUUGAAAAAUUUCCUGUUCAUCAUUCGAAAAGCAGACAGCAUAAGAGCCCGAAAAGAAAAAUGUAGGAGCAUAUAAUGAAGAAAUCUUAUUCUGAUCACCCGCACACAUGGAAAUUGAUUUCAGCUGCUAUAAGUACCUUCAUUAGGUCAUCAUUGUAAGGGGCAUCUGGUGCUGUUAUUCUUGUAAUCUCACUCAUGCAAGAUGCAACCGCAACCCUUACAUCUUCGUCCAAGUGCCUCAAAAUGGUACUAGAGAUUAAUGCCUUCAUUGGUGGUAAAAGAGCAUCUUGCAUUGAUCUUGAUGGUGCUUGCUCCACAUUUGUGAGCAAACGCUCCAGUUUCUACAAGACAAAAUGAAACACAAUAACAGCUCGAUCCAUAAGCAAUAAAGAAAUAGUAAAGAAAAAAUAUGACAAUUCUAAAAAAGUGAUAUGAGCCAUACAGAGGUCAUCAAAGGACCAAAUAACCAAGAAAAGAAAAUGACAAAACAAAACGAAAACACCAUUACAGGCUAUAAAGCUCAAAUUACAUGAAUGCCAGUAAGUUUCAUGGAAAAGACCCAUUGAAAAAAAUUCCAAAAUCUGUUAACACAAGCUGGACUUCAUAUAACUCAUCACCAGACACACUUCAUGCCAGAUAGCAAUGUCUUUGUAGGAUAACCAUUUUGAUUUGAAUAACUUAAAUAAGAUUUUUCCACCAUUAGUGUCUCAGAAAAGGCAACACAUACACAUCAUCUAGGGCAGAACUUGCUAUGUUUUAUUUACUAAUAACUACAGCACAAGGAAUACUACUUCCCGUUUGCAACGGUAAGUAUAUUUCACUCCCAGCUACUCCUAUACUAGAAGAGGUAGAAUCAUCCAAAAAAACUUGGGGUGAAAGGGGGGGUUGGGGGUGGGGGGGACUUAAGGAAACAAAACUCAUAAUAUCCUCAUAAAUUUUCACAAUAGUGAAAACCAGACAAAGAGAUACUCAACGAAGAGGUGGCAAAGGACAAUGGCCAUGAUUCAAGUAUAAUAUCUGAAUAUCCAAAGUUUUAAUGUCAUGAUUGAUAUUUGCAACUCAAAACAUUUUCAAUCUCGGUGAAGAAAAAAUGGUAGAGAUCAUUUUUUUGCAAACAGAAAGCUGAAGUGGCUAUUAACAAUCAACUCGAAUGCCCAUUUUAGCAAUUUAAAAUUACAAACUUACAAGACUAAUUAAAGAAAACUCAUGUUGGCCAGCAAUGGUCACGCAACCAUAUUUCCUCAUGCAAGUUAUAGACAAGUUUUUUAGUAUCCCAAGCAAAACUAAGAGUUCAAUUCCAAUGGUUAUUUUCCAAUCAUACCAAAAGAAUAUGCAAUUACCAGUGGCUGCAAAAAUUAUAUGUGAGCAAACCGUGCCAGAUGGAGCAUUCAGAGGUAAUGCCAUGGCUCUGAUAAUAUGAUUUUCACAUGUACUGAAAUAUCAGAGAACAAGAAUAGGAUUGUCUAGUUGCAAGGUCUAGGAGAGAUAUAGGCGUCGGAGACCCAAAUGUUGUCAGUGGUUUCAGGUCCUGCUGGAACUGGAUUGACCACAAGUUCAUUGGCUGCUGACCCAUCCUAAAAUGCCAUCAACCAUGCCCUUUGGCAAGAGUAUAUGUAUAGUCAUUCUACAACAUCAUACCCCGCAAUAAUAUUACAGAUUAAUGCAGUAUUCCCUUGUACAUUUUUAUGAAGAAACAAGAGUGAAAAUGGAAGAUUCCCCCAAUACAUUGAUCAGGAAAUGAUUAUCCACCAUAAAUUAAUCACUCCCCAAUCAACAAUCCUAACAAUAAACAGCAAAGUCAAGAGAUAUAUUAAUAUUUAUAGAGGGCAUAUAAAGCUAAAUAGAAAUCAGAGAUGAAAUCCAAAAACGACCAAAAUCCAACAAUCAUUAACCAUACAUUGAUAGAUUUCAAAAUCAACACUCCAAUUAACAGGCAUACAAACAAGAAAAUCCCGUAAAAGAAAACUUAAACAGAUACUAAAACCGAGUGAGUUUACACACGACUAGAAAGCAAUCAGAAAGAUGAAGACCAUAUAAGAUGACAACAACAGCAACAGAAAUUUUUUGCAAAAUUGCCAAACAAAAAAUCAUUAAUCCGUGGCAUUCGUCACCAAAAAUACGAAUCAUUUAUAUCCAUGCACCUAAUAAUUAAGCCAGACGAAUUAUUCAACAUUCUAAUACAAUAUCAACAAACAUAAAAAAACAAAAGGCAAGCACACAGAGCAAACAUAUAUAAAUAUAUAAAGAGAUGAAAAGGGUGAUGAGACAUUACAUCGAGGGAGUCAAGAAGGUCAUCAGCAGAUGAUGGAGGGUUUAAGAGACUAUUUCCAGCCUCUUUAAGCCGUUCUUCAAGCUCAGUCUCACUGUUAGGCAUUUCAACACUCUCUUAAACACAGAAACCAAAAACAAAAUACUCUCACUUUCUCUGAAAAUUCAGAGACUUUUCACCGAAACCCACAUCACAGACAAACAGUAGAGUAGUAUUUACAAAACCCACGGAUGAAAGAAAUCAAACCCAUUUGUUGACUGUUUCGUUUACAACUCUAAAGUCUAAACACAGUUGUCCAUGCAAGCAGGGGUUACCAAAGAGGCAGUUUUUUCCUCUUGGAUUCAACCCGUUAAUUCACUGUGGUUAAAAGAAUGGGGUUUUGGGUUCUGGGGUUUCUCCAUUUCUCUCUUUGUUUUCUUAUUUUAUUUUAUUGUCCUUUUUUUUCCUUCUUUCUUUUUAAUGGUAGUGCAAGAAAAAGAAUAUUAUCUCAAGGAUAAGUUUAAGUUUGAUGGUUAAAAAAAUUUAAUUCUUUUUAAUAUUUCAAAUUUAAAUUAUGAAAUUAAUACAUUUUACUUUAUAGAAUGCACUAUAAAAAUACAAAGGAGAAAAAUUUUAAUUUAGUUGCAUGCAAGAAAAUACUUAAGUAUAUGAUUGCUUGGCAUAUUUUUCAAUUUCAACUUGUAAUCAUUAACAAGUUUUUCUUCAUAUUUAAUUUGAGGCUAAAUGUUAGAAGCAUGAGUGUUAAUUUUAUUUUUUAAUAUUAUUUUUUUUAAUUGUUAUUGGUUUUAGAUCUUUUUAUUUUAUAUUUUAAAAGUGAUUUUUAAAAAAAUAUAUAUUUUUAUUUACUUCAAAUUAAUUUUUUUUUGUUUUUUCAGAUCAUUUUAAUAUGAUGAUAUAAAAAUAUUUUUUUUAAAAAAUAUUAUUUUAAUAUAUUUUUAAAUAAAAAAUAUUUUAAAAAAUAACUGUAACCAUACUUUCUAACGUUUUUAAUGGGGAGGGUUAUUUGGGCAAAAAAUUAUUAAUGAAAGAAAUUUAAGGUUAUAUUUUUUAUUAGUAUUAUAGAGUAGAAAACAGAUAUAAAUAAAUAGAAAAGUUUUUUGUUAAAAAAAUAUAAAUAUAAAAUAAUUUUAUUUUUAUAAUAGUUUUGAAAUAAUUUUUACUUUUAACAUAUGGGGAACAGAAAAGAUUUUUAUUAUUAUUGUAUCCAUGUUUUAGGUAAAUUGAGUGAAAAUCACCUAACAAUUCGUAACUUUAUAAACACGUGAUAUUUAAAAAUAAUGCCCGCGUGCACGUGUGUGUAUACACACACGUGAGAUUUGUUUAUUUAUUUAUUUUUCAUACGCCAACUUUUAUUUUGUUAGAAAGCAUUUCAACUCUCUAUCUGUCAUCAAUCAAGUAUUCUAAAAGUACUUUUCUAUUCAGUCGAGUUUUUUUUAUUAAAUUGUAAUGAAGUAUUUGAACUUGCAAAGAUUGAGUGCAUGCUGAAUAUUGUGCCUUCUCUAAAUUUCUAUAAGGUUAGUGAUUGCGAUAAUUUAUAAUAAAGUUUUUCGUGAAAUUAACUUCCAAGAAUUAGUACUUUUAAUCAACACUCCUCCUUUAGCGAAAAGACGAUUUCCCUUUCUCCUCUAGAACGAGGUGGGAGAUCUCAGAUUCCCAGCACCAAGAACAACAAGAUGAAUAUAUCUCCUCUGGCAACUGUGACGACGUUACAUCCAUACCGGUGAGUUUUCAUCGACCGUGACAACACAAAAGAAUGCUCAUUCAAUGGUAUUGCAUCACUCCCAAUCGUUUUCUCUUCUCAAUUUCUUGAUUUUUUCUUAUCUCUCCGCUACCUCACCAUCAUAGAUGAGUUGCAAUUCUAAUGGCCAUGGUGAUGGUGUUCCUGGGUUGUCUAAUACGAGCAAAAAACUGAAGUGCAGAUUCUAAAUAGUGACGAUGAAGGAGGAGGAGGAGAGUGUAAUAUUUAAUGUAAAAUAAUCGGUCACCCCUGCCAGAUUAAUUAUUUGAGCUCAAUUUAAUCUAGUUUCUUUUUGUUAUGAGAUCUGGAGAACUGGGUUUGGGUUAAGAGGGUGGAGGUUAGUUCUUUUUAAUUGAAUGGAAAAGUUAUAAUAUUGAAUAUAGGGAUUUUUCAUUUUUUAAAUAAAAAUAAUGAUAAUUUUAUAAAUAAUUUAUUGAUUUUUUUUUUACGCAUUAGAGUGAGGAUAACUCGGCAAACCCAACAGAUUAGGGUUAAGGCAUGUGGACACUGGAUGCCAUCACAGGGAUUUUAUGGAACUCAAAUCUAAAAUCUCAGAAACUUGAAUAUAAAGAAGAUUCAAAUGGCAAGCAACUUCAAGGCACUCGUGGACAAUCAAGGCAAGAAGUGAAGAAAGCUUGUAAACGCAUGUGUUUCAGCAACAAACAUUAAACUGGUAACUAUCAUGUUCAAAAAACAAUUACGCCUGAUGAGCUACUUCUGCAUGUCAUUUAUUAAUUAAUGUCUUAAAAAUGUGCUAAUUCUGCAUUUCAUAUAUCAAUAAAAAGGUGUUUCGCCACAACAAUUGGAAGCACUUUGAUUAAAGUCCUAGGCAAAUAGAAGACUCAAAACUCCCUGACCAUGAGAUUGAUGACCGGAAAACAUUAAAAAAAAAUCCCAUAGAAUUGCAGGGCCAUGGAAACAUGGAGUGAAGGUCUCUACAAAUGAAAUUCAAAUCAGAGCCUGUUAAAUUAGAACUGUUUUGACUCAGUUAGACUUGACAUGUUCCUGAACAACAUUAUAGCCUUCACUUGUCUCACCAUAAUCCUGCAAACCAGCAAGGGAAAAAAUGUUAGCCCUAAAGACGACAAUCCAGUACAAACAUGCAAUACCUUAAAGGACUCACACCUUCACAACAACGCAGGAGCAGCCACAACCUUCCUGGCCUUGCCCUCAGAAUCAAUCUUGCAUAACUGCAUGAAGGGACCCAGGGAACAAAGCAGUACCAGUAAAUAAACGUUAUGGUUUUGUGACAAAAAAUCAUUUAAUAGAAAUACAUAAGCAAGUUUUCACAGGAAAAAAAUGGUAACAUGAUCUGCAAUAAGCCAAUAUCUAUUAAUUCAAUACAAAACAACAAGCUGUUUUACUCUUUUGACCUAGCUAACAAUAACUCCAUCACUGGCAAGAAAAACAUGAUGUGCUACAGAAAAUAGAUGAGGAAAAAAAGGCACUAUACCAAAGUUUUACAUCUAAGCUAUAUGUGGACUAAAAACAUUAAUGAUUCAUAUAAAAAAGCUAAUUAAAAAGAACUUACUCCAGCCCACUCGCCAAGGGUCUUAGCACUGGGAACCGUCAAUAAGCCUACACCAUGAUCAGCACAGAGUGCUUUAACGAGUUUGACAUAGUCUGGCUGGUUGCAGUCCUCUGCCAAUACACAGAGCUGGGCAGCAUGCUUCUCAAUCACUUUAGCACCUUCAUGGAGGCCCCGGGCAAGUCCACCAUGAGCUAGACUCUUUUUCAGAACAAGCUGUAAUGCUGUCAUCAAGUCCAUGGCCUCAAGAGGCUGAGCAGGAGCAGGAGUCUCAGCAGGAGCGGGAGUCUCUUCACUGCAAAGAUGAGGAGAUCCAAAUACAAUAAACAAUGAUGGCACAAACCAUCAUUUCCAGUUCAAGAAUCAAACAACAAAAACCCCACAUCAAAUAAAUACGAUAGAUACUUUCUGUUUUUUGAUUUUGGGGAAGGAAGAGGAUGCAAAAUGCACCACCUUUAAGUGGGUCAUAAGUAACAAUCUAUAAUACAUUUUGAUUGGUGCAUCAAAAUUCGCAUCAAAGGCCUUUCUAGCAAAAUACGAUAGUUAGCACAUUGUCCUUUCUAUCACUAGUUUUUUUCUUGAAAAAAAAGUGUCAAAGGCCUCUGGCAAACGCCUAGCAUUCAAAGACUUGAAAUCAUUGAAUGGAAGCUCAAAAAUUCCAAGAAAUCAAGAUGCACUUGCAAGAUGAUGGGUUGAAACGUGCCUAAACUCUAGGCAUAAAAACCAUUCGCAAUUCUUAAGAGAAAUAAAUCAAUUCACCAUGUCAACAAUCACCACAAGUAACAGCAAGAAGAAAAAGAAGAAGAAGCGCCUAGCAUAUCAAAUGUGCAACAGCAUUAUGACCAAUAAGAAAAACCCAAAAUCGGAGACUACAAACUAACCUCUAACAGCAUGGGUUAAACACAUAAUAAUAGCUAGUAAAACUGGAAAUCACAAACAAACACGGGUUAAAAUUAUAAUUUAUCAAAACAGUUACAUACCCUGACAUUUUGGGAUUUGUUGAUAAUUUUAGAAUCUCCUUACUGCAAAACCACAACAAAGCCAAAACAGAAAAUCAGUACUCAAACAAUACUGAUCGACUACAAACAGGACAGGCCAAGUUCAAAUUUUGAUAACAUUAACUAACUGAAACUGAAGAUGGCUUGAAGCAAGAGAAAGAGGACAAAGACCUUUGCAAGUGAAGGUAGGCCUCCUGCUGCUUGUGUGCCUGCGAAGCAAAUAGGAGGGUCGCGAAGGAAGACGAUAAAAAAAGGAGGGCAAAAACCCUAAAUUUCUAAGCGACCUUCUUGUCCUUCAAUUCCUUGUCCUAGGCCCUAAGGUCCAAUAUCCAGCCGGGCCUCGAUAAAAUUGAAAUCGAAAAGAGCUCGGUCCAACGGAAAUAUUUAAUUCCUUUUCUUUUCUUUAACGAAUAAGAAAUCUUAUUUUAUUAGUUAUUAUUUUUAAAUGCAAUUUCUAUUCAUUGAAUGCAUGGAUUUUAUUAAAUUAUUUAUUUUAUGAUCAUGUUGAAAAUAAUAAGAGCCGAUUUCCCCACCUAGACACCAAUGGGCUUAUCAUAUUCUUGUUAUGUAAUUUGGUGUUGGUUCCGUCACCGUUCGAGCAAGGUAGCAGGCUGGGCUAAACCUGUUAUCUUUUCAAUUGACAUUGGAACAUGCCUGUUUCUAAAAGCUGGUACCAUCUAGCACCCAGGCAUAUCUCCCGAGCUGAGCAGAGCAAUUCAAUGUUCUCUAUCAACUUGGCAAAAAUCCAACUCUGCGGCCGAGAGAAAUCCACUCUCUUCAUUCGUUAGGGUUUAUCACAAGACUCCAUUAGUAGUUGCUAACUAGCUGAUGCUAAAAGAGUCUGAAAACAUUGAAGGGGAAAAGAUAGAAGAAUCAGAAGGCAGAUACAGUAAUAGCUUAUUAGGAAAUCCUGGCAUACCCAGAAGCUGACCAAAAAGAAAAAGACCUGCACAACCGAGAAAUUCCUGCAAUGAACAUUAUCUUACACCUUACAACAUUAUGAUUCCGGAGCUAAUUAAUGCACUAUCACAUUCAUAAAGCAUCAUAGUUGACCCAUGUCAUCUUCGAAAGGAAAAAUGCCAUUACCUGAAAAUUGCCACUGCAAAGUUCAAACUGCAAUGCAAUCGUAUGCUUGUUGCAUCUCGAACACCAUGAGAAAUGGGUACAUGAUCAGAGCAUAAGGGAAUUGGGAUACAACUAACCACUUAACUAUACAAGAUACUAAAGGAACCAUUUAAAUCAUAGUUGACCACUCAUGCAAGCCAUCAAGAAGUUAAAGUCCAAUUUUCUUACAUUUUGACCACUCAUUGAGGCCAUCAAGAAUUCAAGUCCAGUUCUUUUACAUUUUGACUUUGGGCCAGCAUCAUCUUUAGAAUCUGCUUGGAUAAUGAACCUCUACUGAACUCAAAAGGUAAAAAGAUUUCAAGGCCACAAAGUCAAUUUUCUUCUAAAUCUGAUUAUUGCAGUAAAGAUCAUGGAACUUAGACCUUAGUCCGGCAUCACUUUCAGAGUAAAGAAGGCAAGCUCUUUUUAUUUUUUUCCGCAAAAAAUCCAACUGGGUAAAAAUAAUCCAGAAUAACAAAGUCAGUUUGAAGAAGACAAAAAGUGUCUAUGCUGAAAAGAUGCAACAUGUCAGAUGAUUGAGAUGAUGGAAGAGAAUACUAACUCCACAUUGAUAAGGCAUCAACCUCGAUGGAUCGGAUAAGACACAAAAAUAUGUAGUAGUAGAACUAUACCUGACAAAGUAACAUAGCUGACACAUUGAGCAGAGAGAUGAAUGCAGCAAAGUAAUUUUGACAGGUAACUCGAGAAAAACCAUAACCGGAAAAGGAUAAUGCAAAUGCUAAAGAAAAAUGAUGACAAAGUAAUUUUUAUACAAUAAAAGAAACCCAAACAAUCAACAGACAGAGUUGCCAUCAGUAUACACAUUACUGAGGCUAACGCAAUGAGAGAGAAACCAAAACCAAGGAGGAGGAGGAGAAGGGGGAGGAGGAGAUUUUACUCGAGCUGGUAUAAGGAGAUGUCACAUCAUUUAUUAUCUGACAUCAUCUGUGAACCAGUAUUGUGUUUAUGUAAACCUAAAAGCAGUAAUUGACACUUGAAACUAAGUACUCUAUGAUGCAGGAUACUACGGUAAAUGAUUAUAAAUCUAUAACUAAGAACCAAGGAGGAGCACGCAUAAGAAACANNNNNNNNNNNNNNNNNNNNNNNNNNNNNNNNNNNNNNNNNNNNNNNNNNNNNNNNNNNNNNNNNNNNNNNNNNNNNNNNNNNNNNNNNNNNNNNNNNNNUUUAGAAAAGUGGAAAUUGAGGUAGGAAUUUUUCUCCAUGUCAUGAAAAGUUGCAUGCCAAAAGAACCUUUAGACACUUUCAUGCAUUUGGUGAUGAUAUCAAGAGUCUUGAAGAAUGCAAUCAAAUUGAGGUCUAAAGACUUGAUGGAUGUGAGGAAAGAUCCAUUACCGAAGAGGCCUAAUCACAAACCAUUGUUCAGGUCCAAGCCUAAGGAUUGCUUGGAUGCACGACACUAGGGUCACAAAACAAAAGAUAACCUUUAAGUUGCCUAAAACAGAGAGACUAAAACUGGCACUUGUUCUAUACUAAACCAACCUCACGGUUUUCCUAUGCCUCUCCGCCUGUUGUGUCUGUACGCAAGAUUCACCAGUUUCUAGUCAGUUUCAGGUGAAAGGGAAGAGCUCGCUUCCCCCUGCUGUUCCCUCUUAGGUCCAUCUGAGCCAUGAGAUUCAUCACCCCCUCUGGAACUUUCAUCCUUGGAUAGGGUUGCACCAACUGGCAUGGCCAGCUCAGAGUUGAAGCUACAGAACACGGUAACAGCUUUGGGACUUCCAUCGUCAGAUGUAUUUACAGUCUCUGGCAUUGCUUGCUUGGAGUUGUUAUCAAUCCUUUGCGGAUCGUGAAUCUUCAACCUGACAGUAGAAUUUUCACCAUCAUCUUUUGAACCGCUACAUGACCCAGGUGUGUUUUUACUAUCUUCUGAACCACUACCUGGCCCAGAUGUGUCAUGAUCCACAGGUUUGUCAACACAAAUUGGUUCGUCAUGGACAGCACCAUAUGCAGAUUUGCCAGCAAAUCUUCUAGCGGUGGUUUUGGAAAUGCUGGCGGCUCUGCUCCU